CCUACGGGAGGCAGCAGUAGGGAAUAUUGCUCAAUGGGGGAAACCCUGAAGCAGCAACGCCGCGUGGAGGAAGAAGUUUUUCGUAUUGUAGACCCCUUUCGUCAGAGAAGAUAAUGACGGUAUCUGACUAAUAAGCACCGGCUAACUCCGUGCCAGCAGCCGCGGUAAUACGGAGGGUGCAAGCGUUACACGGAAUUACUGGGGGUAAAGAGCGCGUAGGCGGGAUAGCAAGUCAGAAGUGAAAUCCUAUGGCUUAACCAUAGGACUGCAUUUGAAACUGUACGUCUAGAGUGUAGGAGAGGUAAGUGGAAUUCUUGGUGUAGCGGUGAAAUGCGUAGAGAUCAAGAGGAAUACUAGUGGCGAAGGCGGCUUACUGGAACGUAACUGACGCUGAGGCGCGAAAGCGUGGGGAGCAAACAGGAUUAGAUACCCUAGUAGUC
rnacentral:rRNA from 1 species